CCAAUCGUGUGACGAUUGAGUUUCUCUUUAUAUAUAAAUUAUUAAUUAAUAAAAAAAAUUAUUCUAAUAUUUUUCAUUACAAAGUUAUAUCUUCCUUAUAGAACUCUUAUGUUGUGAUAAAGUCCUUAGAACUAUGUUAGUAUAUGAUAAAAAGAAGAUUUAUCGUAUAGUUCUUAAAUAUGUUCAUGAUCAAAUAUACAUCAUUGCAAGACGAUGAUGUUUAUCGAGUGGAGAUCAUUGUGUGCCAUAUAGAUUGGUUGUCCUCUUAAUCAAGCAGUGUGGUGAUACUGGUAUAGCAUACAGAUAAGAUAUAGGAGUACAUCGUCAUUGAACAAGUGACUCACCUACUAAGCAUUCUGUUGUCAAAAACUGCUCGUGAAGUAUAUGGAUAUAAGUGUCCUUCAGAUCUGAGAUCAUCAUAGUAACUUACAAGCAACUCACUGUGCAUUGGUGUUAGACUAUUUGAAUUUCUAAUGCAGU
rnacentral:lncRNA from 1 species